rnacentral:rRNA from 1 species
GUCACUGACAUUAGAUACCCGUGUAGUCCAGGGUGUAAACGCUGCAGACUUGGUGUUGGAGGCCCUUUGGGGGCAUUCAGUGCCGGAGAGAAGUUGUUAAGUCUGCUACUUGGGGAGUACGUCCGCAAGGAUGGAACUUAAAGGAAUUGGCGGGGGAGCACCGCAACGGGAGGAGCGUGCGGUUUAAUUGGAUUCAACACCGUAAAACUCACCAGGGAAGACUGUUACAUGAAGGCCGAGAUGAAGACUCUGCUAGAUUUUCAG